UAGAUGCGAGAGUAGAGCAUAUCAAUAAGCGGAGGAAAAGAAACUAACAAGGAUUCCCUUAGUAACGGCGAGUGAAGCGGGAAGAGCUCAAAUUUGAAAUCUUCAAGGUUCUACCUUGACGAAUUGUAGUUUAUAGAAGUGUUUUCUGUUAGUAGAGUGGCAAAAGUUCUUUGGAAUAGGACAUCAUAGAGGGUGAGAAUCCCGUAUUUGGUCAUUCUUUCCAGCUUUGUGAUACACUUUCAACGAGUCGGAUUGUUUGGGAAUGCAGUCCAAAAUGGGUGGUAAAUUUCAUCUAAAGCUAAAUAUCGGCGAGAGACCGAUAGCGAACAAGUACCGUGAGGGAAAGAUGAAAAGAACUUUGAAAAGAGAGUUAAACAGUACGUGAAAUUGUCAAAAGGGAAGCGUUUGACACCAGUGUUGUUUUUCCGAAAAUCAAUUACGAAUGUUUUGUUUUUGAGAAGUUAUGACUUCAUCGGCUUGCUCUCUUCUUUACGAAACUUUCUUAAUGUACUUUUCGGUUAACAAGUCAACAUCAAUUUCUUUUGUUGUAAAAGGGUAUGAGGAAGGUGGCUUUCUUUUCGGAGAAAGUGUUUAUAGCCUUGUACCUCUGCAAUCGGAGAGAUUGAGGUCUGCAGCGUAGAUCCUUCGGGGUUAGAUACAUUUGUGCUAAGUUAUAGCUUUUCAUAGACAACUUGUUGACUAUGUUAAGUCUUGUAGCUUACUCGCUUAUGCUAUUUUACCUACGCUUAGGAUGUUGACACACGCGCGUGCUCG
rnacentral:rRNA from 1 species